GACGAACGCUGGCGGCGUGCUUAACACAUGCAAGUCGAACGCUGAAGCUCAGCUUUUGUUGGGUGGAUGAGUGGCGAACGGGUGAGUAACACGUGAGUAACCUGCCUCCUUCUUUGGGAUAACGCCCGGAAACGGGUGCUAAUACUGGAUAUUCACUGGUCUUCGCAUGGGGGUUGGUGGAAAGGGUUUUUCUGGUGGGGGAUGGGCUCGCGGCCUAUCAGCUUGUUGGUGGGGUGAUGGCCUACCAAGGGUUUGACGGGUAGCUGGCCUGAGAGGGUGACCGGUCACAUUGGGACUGAGAUACGGCCCAGACUGCUACGGGAGGCAGCAGUGGGGAAGAUUGCACAAUGGGCGCAAGCCUGAUGCAGCGACGCCGCGUGAGGGAUGGAGGCCUUCGGGUUGUGAACCUCUUUCGCUCAUGGUCAAGCCGCAACAAUGGUUGUGGUGAGGGUAGUGGGUAAAGAAGCGCCGGCUAACUACGUG
rnacentral:rRNA from 1 species